UAUGUGAUCGUCUCUCGCAUAUCAAUAAGCGGAGGAAAAGAAACUAACAAGGAUUCUCCUAGUAACGGCGAGUGAAGCGGGAAGAGCUCAAAUUUGAAAUCUUAAAGGGUUUCCCUUUACGAAUUGUAGUUUAAAGGAAGUGUUUUCUGUUGAGGUUUUGGUAAAAGUUCUUUGGAAUAGGACAUCAUAGAGGGUGAGAAUCCCGUAUUUGACCUUUACUUUCAACUUUGUGAUACACUUUCAAAGAGUCGGAUUGUUUGGGAAUGCAGUCCAAAAUGGGUGGUAAAUUUCAUCUAAAGCUAAAUAUUGGCGAGAGACCGAUAGCGAACAAGUACCGUGAGGGAAAGAUGAAAAGAACUUUGAAAAGAGAGUUAAACAGUACGUGAAAUUGUCAAAAGGGAAGCGUUUGACACCAGUGUUGUUUUUCUGAAAAUCAAUUAAAGAACUGUUUAUGCUAAGUUGUUUAGACUUUAUCAGCUAUCUGUUUAGUUUUGAGCUUUUCUUUAAUGCACUUUUCAGUUAACAAGUCAACAUCAAUUUCUUUUGCUGUAAUAAAGCUUGAGGAAGGUGGCUUGAGAUUCGUCUUAAGUGUUUAUAGCCUCUUGCCUAUGCAGUCGGAGAGAUUGAGGUCUGCAGCGUAGAUCCUUCGGGGCUAAAUGCAUUUGUGCUAAGUUAUAGCAUUUUAUAGACAACUUGUUGACUAUGAUUUGUCUUGUAGCUUACUCGCUUAUGUUAUUUUACCUACGCUUAGGAUGUUGAAGAUAUGCGCGACACG
rnacentral:rRNA from 1 species